GACGAGCGCUGGCGGCGUGCUUAACACAUGCAAGUCGAACGGAAAGGCCCGGCUUUUGUGGGGUGCGCGAGGGGCGAACGGGGGAGUAACACGUGAGUAACCUGCCCUUGACAUUAGGAUAACCUCAGGAAACUGGGGCUAAUACCGGAUAGGAGCUCCUGCUGCAUGGUGGGGGUGGGAAAGUUUCGGCGGUUGGGGGUGGACUCGCGGCUUAUCAGCUUGUUGGUGGGGUAGUGGCUUAGCAAGGCUAUGAAGCGUAGCCGAGCUGAGAGGGUGACCGGCCACACUGCGACGGGGCUACGGCCCAGCCUCCUCCGGGAGGCAGCGGUGGGGUAGAUUGCACUAUGGGCGGAGCCCUGGUGCAGCCCCGCCGCGCGCGGGAUGUCGGCCAUCGCGUUGUAAUCCGCUUCCGCCUGUCACGAAGCGUGAGUGACGGUACCUGGUGAAUAAGCACCGGCUAACUCCGUG
rnacentral:rRNA from 1 species